rnacentral:rRNA from 1 species
UGCCAGCCGCCGCGGUAAUACGUAAGUCGCAAGCGUUAUCCGGAAUUACUGGGCGUAAAGCGCGCGUAGGUGGCUAUUUAAGUCAGAUGUGAAAGUCCACGGCUCAACCGUGGAAGUGCAUUUGAAACUGGAUAGCUUGAGUAUUGGAGGGGGUAGUGGAAUUCCCGGUGUAGAGGUGAAAUUCGUAGAUAUCGGGAGGAAUACCGGUGGCGAAGGCGACUACCUGGCCAAAUACUGACGCUGAGGUGCGAAAGCGUGGGGAGCAAACAGGAUUAGAUA